rnacentral:rRNA from 1 species
GACGAAGGGGGCUAGCGUUGUUCGGAAUUACUGGGCGUAAAGCGCGUGUAGGCGGUUGCCCAAGUCGGGUGUGAAAGCCCUGAGCUCAACUCAAGAAAUGCACUCGGUACUGGGUGACUAGAGGACCGGAGAGGAUAGUGGAAUUCCCAGUGUAGUGGUGAAAUACGUAGAGAUUGGGAAGAACACCAGUGGCGAAGGCGGCUAUCUGGACGGUUUCUGACGCUAAGACGCGAAAGCGUGGGGAGCAAACAGG